rnacentral:rRNA from 1 species
UGGGGAAUUUUGGACAAUGGGGGAAACCCUGAUCCAGCCAUCCCGCGUGUGCGAUGAAGGCCUUCGGGUUAUAAAGCACUUUUGGCAGGAAAGAAACGUCAUGGGUUAAUACCCCGUGAAACUGACGGUACCUGCAGAAUAAGCACCGGCUAACUACGUGCCAGCAGCCGCGGUAAUACGUAGGGUGCAAGCGUUAAUCGGAAUUACUGGGCGUAAAGCGUGCGCAGGCGGUUCGGAAAGAAAGAUGUGAAAUCCCAGAGCUCAACUUUGGAACUGCAUUUUUAACUACCGGGCUAGAGUGUGUCAGAGGGAGGUGGAAUUCCGCGUGUAGCAGUGAAAUGCGUAGAUAUGCGGAGGAACACCGAUGGCGAAGGCAGCCUCCUGGGAUAACACUGACGCUCAUGCACGAAAGCGUGGGGAGCAAACAGG